AUUCCAGCUCCAAUAGCGUAUAUUAAAGUUGUUGCAGUUAAAAAGCUCGUAGUUGAACCUUGGACAAAGUGCGCGUGGUCUACCGCAAGGUACGACUGCGGCGCUGCGUCUCUUUAGGGGGACUCGAUGCUUCGGUGUCGAGGUAACCCGUGUUACUGUGAAGAAAUUAGAGUGUUUAAAGCAGGCUAUCGCUUGAAUACAUCAGCAUGGAAUAACAAGUUGGACUUUGCUCCUACUUGUUGGUUUGAGGGGAAAAGUAAUGAUUAAUAGGGCCAGUUGGGGGCAUUAGUACUCAGUAGUCAGAGGUGAAAUUCUUGGAUUUACUGAAGACUAACUAGUGCGAAAGCAUUUGCCAAGGAUGUUUUCAUCA
rnacentral:rRNA from 1 species